AUUGAACGCUGGCGGCAGGCCUAACACAUGCAAGUCGAACGAGUGGCGGACGGGUGAGUAAUGUCUGGGAAACUGCCCGAUGGAGGGGGAUAACUACUGGAAACGGUAGCUAAUACCGCAUACCAUCGGAUGUGCCCCGAUGGGAUUCGCUCGUAGGUGGGGUACCGGCUCACCUCGGCGACGAUCCCUAGCUGGUCUGAGAGGAUGACAAGCCACACUGGAAAUGAGACACGGGCCAGACGCCGACGGGAGGCAGCAGUGGGGAAUAUUGCACAAUGGGCGCAAGCCUGAUGCAGACAUGCCGCGGGUAUGAAGAAGGCCUUCGGGUUGUAAAGUACUUGCAGCGAGGAGGCGUUACUCGCAGAAGAAGCACCGGCUAACUCCGUGCCAGCAGCCGCGGUAAUAC
rnacentral:rRNA from 1 species